UACGUAGGGCGCAAGCGUCGUCCGGAUUUAUUGGGUUUAAAGGGUGCGUAGGCGGAUGAUUAAGUCAGGGGUGAAAGACGACCGCUCAACGGUCGGGUUGCCUUUGAUACUGGUUAUCUUGAGUGCAGACGAGGUCUGUGGAAUGGAUGGUGUAGCGGUGAAAUGCUUAGAUACCAUCCAGAACACCAAUUGCGAAGGCAGCAGACUAGGGUGCAACUGACGCUGAGGCACGAAAGUGCGGGGAUCAAACAGG
rnacentral:rRNA from 1 species